AGGUUAGCGGCGGACGGGUGAGUAACACGUGGGCAACCUGCCUGUAAGACUGGGAUAACUCCGGGAAACCGGAGCUAAUACCGGAUAGUAUCUUGAACCGCAUGGUUCAAGYUGGAAAGACGGUUUCGGCUGUCACUUACAGAUGGGCCCGCGGCGCAUUAGCUAGUUGGUGAGGUAAUGGCUCACCAAGGCAACGAUGCGUAGCCGACCUGAGAGGGUGAUCGGCCACACUGGGACUGAGACACGGCCCAGACUCCUACGGGAGGCAGCAGUAGGGAAUCUUCCGCAAUGGACGAAAGUCUGACGGAGCAACGCCGCGUGAGUGAUGAAGGUUUUCGGAUCGUAAAACUCUGUUGUUAGGGAAGAACAAGUGCGAGAGUAACUGCUCGCACCUUGACGGUACCUAACCAGAAAGCCACGGCUAACUACGUGCCAGCAGCCGCGGUAAUACGUAGGUGGCAAGCGUUGUCCGGAAUUAUUGGGCGUAAAGCGCGCGCAGGCGGUUUCUUAAGUCUGAUGUGAAAGCCCCCGGCUCAACCGGGGAGGGUCAUUGGAAACUGGGAAACUUGAGUGCAGAAGAGGAGAGUGGAAUUCCACGUGUAGCGGUGAAAUGCGUAGAGAUGUGGAGGAACACCAGUGGCGAAGGCGACUCUCUGGUCUGUAA
rnacentral:rRNA from 1 species